rnacentral:lncRNA from 1 species
AUGUCAGGCACAAGAAAUGGUUUAGGAUCCACCCCUGCUGGGGGUGCUUGUUGGCAUGCUCAGGACAGGGUGAGCCUCCUAGGAGUUGGUACACAUGCUUUAUUUCUUUGCUGGGGGUAUAUAUUCUUCGUGAAAGUAAAGACAGCUCUUUUUGGAAGGGGCAAGGAUGAAGUGAGAUGCAAAAAUAAAUGGUUUUCUUUCCUAGGACAAACUAUCUACGCUCCUUUGAACACUGUGGAUAUUUUUAUCAUCAUGGCAUAUAUAGCUCAUCAUGUACAGAAGAGCAUUACUAUAUCUGUGAAAAGCCCGCCAUCCAACUGCAGCGAGGUAACAACCAUUGGCAGGAGGACUGGUUUGUCAGACCAAAAUGAUUAUGAGAAGCUAGAAGUCAUUCUGCAAGACUUGUGUAAAAGUAUCUUCAUACUAAGGAAACAAGCAUGGUGAUGGGCUGCAGGAGCAACCCAAGUCUGUCGUUCCAGAUCCAAAACUGUCAAAUGAAUACUUGGUUUUAACCAACACAAGGGAUGGACAAAAUGGUCAGCAGUGAUGGCCAGAAAAAAAGCACAGUGACAGGGCAAGCACGUAAAGAUGCUGCUCCUCUCCCAAGCAUCAAUUGGUACAGUCCUAAUUACCACUUGUUAGUUAGUAACUGUACAGCUGUAACAUAACGCAACUGCUGAGGAUUAAACACUUCCACUCAAGAGACGCUUCUGAUGUCUUGUUGAUCUGACUUCUUUAAUAUGCUAGGAUGGUGAAGUAUAGAGUACACAAACACAGUUAUCCUCAAAAGGUGGGCCAAAGUGUUCCUGAAUCAUAUUUCCUCUGGAGCACAGGGAUUCCUAGUUCUCAUAAGGACUUGUCCAUGUGUCACAGUAGAAGAUAUCCUUCAGCUAUGAAUGUCUAGCUCUCUUCCAUAUUCUAUACUUCUUCCUGGCACUGUUAGUUCUCUUCUUAAUUUUUCUUUUACUUUUUUUUUUUUUAAUAUUUUUUUUUCUUCCUGGUAAUAAUACAGUUCUUCUUUUCUACUUUUCUACUUUUCCACUUUUUUGAUCUAUUGAAAGAGUUAUGUUAGGGUUCAGUGAGAGGCAUGAACAGAACCUCCUCUUAUGUAUUUUUAGGAUAUUUCCUGGAAUGCCAUACUACUCAAUGUGCUGAGAAAAGGUCUACAAACCCAUCCACAGUGAAAAUACCCCAAGAAUUUGGGGUAUUUGUUAAUGAACAAAAUAUCUCCCUCCAGAUCUCCAUAGAACAAUGGCAGCCAGGUUGAAACAAGAAAUCUCAGUCUUAUAACGGUGUUUUGAUUUGAGUUCACAAAUUUCUCGCUUCGUCUCCCCUGGAGACUUGUGUAUUCCUUGUGGAUUGUGCCCCAGACUAUUUAUUGUGGAUCAUUUACCACCGUUGUAGCAUCUGGGCUGUGAAAGCAUUGGUCAUUCCCUUCAAGAUGCUGUUCUAGUGUAUCACUGAUCUCAGCACUGCACAGCAGUUUCUGGUCACCGACAUGAACAUUUUUGUUAUUUUCAAAUACCAAUUUCAUGCUCCAGAAACCUUAGUGGAUUUCUGUUCCUCUCUGCUGUUUACACUCACCCCUUGCAUCUCUAGUGUAAUCUCUCCCAGCUGCUCUCCUGGCUGUUCCUGUCUUUGGGGGUGAAAAUGCAGAGUGCUUCUGUCCUGCAGCGCGGACACAGCCCUGGUGUGUCUCUCAACAUCAUACCAGCUACACCGAAAUAAGAGAUCUCGUCUGGAAGGCAUCCGGAGCUGUAUUCAUGGUGCAUCCUUUCCUGAUAUUGAAGGACGUUGCUGUAAUUCGCGAGAAAAAAAAAAAGAAAGAAAGACAGAAAAAAAAAAGUCUGAUCUUGUUUUCUCUUACAUUAGAGUGAAUGUGAGGUAACAGGAAAGAUAUUCCCAGGAUGUUUUUUGAUUAAUGCUGCAUGCCUAAGAGCAGAUGUGCAAAUCCUAGGUGUUUCUGCAGUUUGUUGAAGACAAACAUGAGGUGAGAUUGAGAGGUCCCCACGCCGACAGGCAGCCACAAGCCUACCUCUUAUCUUGCCGUGGCCUUGAUCUUUUGGGUCAAUUUACUGCAAAUUUAAAGCAAUCUCUGGUGCAGCAACUGUAUUCGUAACCGUAAAGGCAGGUGGGGUUACAGUAGGGUUUCACAGUGCCCUGGAGCUAGCUGCUUCUCCUCAAAAAAUGAUGAUUGAAACACAAAAACAAACAAACAAACAAAAAAAUCAACAUUACCCCAGGGAAGAAAGGCAGAAGGCAGUGUCCUACCAUUCACUGCAGACAUGAAGACUGCUGCAGGCAACAACAACCAACCUCAUCCAGCAUAGGCUGAAUCUGGCAGAUGACAUGCUCUUGUGGUGGUGCAACCAGAUGGGAUUUAAGGAUGUGCUGGCUGUAUCGCCUCUGCCGUUCAAAGGAGCUUUUCCUUACAGAUGACAAGACAUAGGAAGGGACUUGUUCGUGUAUUGGCAUUUUUGAAUCAUAGUUCUGUACAACAGCAUGUUUCCCAUGUCUAAAUUCCACUCCUCCCCAUGUCCCCCCCAAGUCAUAGACUCCAGAUAAGGCAAUUUGAAAGGUCACAUUCUGGUUAAUAAACCCAGCCAUUUUGCUCA